UCAGCUGGUUCCAUGGCCUAAAAGCCGUGACGAGAUUUCUUAAAAUAGCUACAAUUACAAGUAUCUUCAGUUAGAGGUGCCAAGGUUGUUACUGAUCCAAGUAAUGGGCGAUCAAAAGGUUAUGGAUUUGUUAAAUUUGCAGAGGAAAGUGAAAGGAACCGGGCCAUGGCUGAAAAUGAAAUGAAUGGUUUGUAUUGCUCAACAAGGCGUAUUAUCAGUAUUGUUAAGAACUUAGCCAACGUUGAUAUCUUCUUCUGUGUUUGCCUUUGACUGGUUUUGUAAAAUAUAUUGGACCGGAGUCGAGAGCAUGAAGAGUGCCACUAUAUUAUGUAAGUGAUAUGACUAGUACCUGAAGAAAGAAGAAAGAGGUUCAAGCGGAAAGUUAUGU